rnacentral:rRNA from 1 species
UACGUAUGUCGCGAGCGUUAUCCGGAAUUAUUGGGCGUAAAGCGUGCGUAGGCGGUUUGGUAAGUCUGAUGUGAAAAUGCGGGGCUCAACUCCGUAUUGCAUUGGAAACUGUCAAGCUAGAGUACUGGAGAGGGGGGUGGAACUACAAGUGUAGAGGUUAAAUUCGUAGAUAUGUGGAGGAACACCGAUGGAGAAGGCAGCCCCCUGGACAGAUACUGACGCUGAAGCACGAAAGCGUGGGUAGCAAACAGG